rnacentral:lncRNA from 1 species
UGAGUCUGAUUGUAUGAAAAAACAAUGCAGUUUAUACUGGAAAAGCGAGGAGGAUGGAGGAGCUGCCAUGGCUGGUUUAGCCGGUGACUCGGAGACACAUCCUUAUGUCUCCUUCACGAUCAACCUUGCUUGAAAUUGAUGAGAGAUUGGUUUGAUGCUUCUUCUCCAUCUGUUAUGUUUGUUUGUGUUCUAUAUAUUUCAUUUUUUAUUUUUCGUAAUAUAUUUUGAAAAUAAAAGAAGGAAAUAUUAAGGUGGCACUCAAGAUACUGUAAUUUUAUUUUGGCCGGAGUCUUUUUAGAUUCCGAUGAGUUUCUGAUACUUGUGGAGGAGAGAAGAGGUUAUACAGUUGGUACCUUCUCAAAUAAUAAUAUUUUCUUAUUUCACUGUAACGUUUUAUGUAUUUAAGCUACUUUUCAUCAGUCAGAGCAAUUCAAAUUUGUUCGUUUUUACAAAAAAAACAAAUCUGACCGACUCAAUUUUUGUUCAUACUUUUUUCUCUUCGUAAAGUUGAGCUAUCCAUCCGCAGAAGUCACAUGGUUUGGAUGACACUAAAGUACUACUAACACAUCUGACUUCUGUAGGUAUAUUCCUAAUUAUACUGUUAAUUUCUUAAAUAAAUAAAUACACAUAAGUGUAACAGUAUCAACAUAGUACAUGUCGAAGUUCGCAAGGUUUAAGAACAAAAAUAACAAGGAGAAGGAAAGUAAAAGCGAAACACAAAGAUUACAACAUCAAUAAAGUACAGAUAGAAAGCUAUAGAUCCCAACAAUGACCAGAACCAAAGGAACAUCAGGACGGAGCCGCAUGGAGAUGCCUGCAACCUUCCCAUUAAACUGGCCUGAGCUAGGACCAGGGGCCUCUGUUUCUGGAGCAGGAGAUGCAGCAGUAUCGAAUGUACGGUCUUUGGUCGGAGAAGGGAAAAACGAGGACAUAUCCGGUGCAUUGCUAUACGGUAAGACAGCAGGAGAAGCUAAGAUUGUGGGUUCACUGCAAACCAGAGUCCAUUGAACCGACAAAACGAUCAAGAGAAACACAGAAACUGAGAAGCUAGACGACAGAGCCAUGGGUGUUUCUUUUUCUUUUCCUUCUGUUCUGCAGAGAAGAAAGAUACUUCUUCCAAGUGAUUAUAAAGAACAAAACAGAGAAAAGACAGAUUAUUUUGUUCCCAUGUGUGUAUGUGCGUGUCUUACUAAGAAACAAAGAAGUGAAUGAAUGUCUUCACGGACUACAUUAUGGGUCCGUAACUGUUUUCACAUGCCUGUUUUGUUUCUACCUCUUAAGUCAUGUGAUUGCAUUUACCUCUUCUCACUUCCACCACCUAAGGGUAAUAAGUAAUGUGCUAAUCAUUCAUAAUAUAAGAUUCUUUUUACCUUUGGUUUAAUAAGAAUUACAUAAAAUAUUCUUUUAGAAAGCUUGCAAAUGAAAUGAAUCAAACAAAACAAAGAUGGGCUAUAAAGACAACAAAAAUUAACGAUUUAAUCCCUUUUUUCUUUCUCAAAAACAAACAAUAUAAGAGGCUCGUGACAGUAGCAUGUAAUCCGCAAAGCUUGUUGAUAUUCUUCUGCAGACUCAAAUGGCGUGUGAAUGUCUUGACAAUAAUGAUGCUACAACAGUCUGAGAUGAGCGGUAUCAUUCAACCGCUUAACCUGCCACCCGGUUUUCCACGAAUGUUGCAACACGGUCACGGAGGAAUCCUCCACACAGAUCUUAUGCGUCAUUACCGAGCUGCAUCCGAGUACACCGGUCAGAAGACACUUAAUAGGUAACGAAUGUGUGAAAACUCCAAUGCAGGUCGAGAGCUGAGAAGAGGAACUCUUGCUGUUUACAUCACCAAGCUGUUGUUCAUCGUUCUGAUGAUUAAACAUCUCUUCACUACCCGUCGUGUUCAUCACCUGAAACCUGCUCUUCCCAGACUUCUUCCUCGUCAAACUUGGACGAUGAAUAGACGUAGCUAGCGAGUGAGGAUUACUACUCUGUGACAACCCUACUCGAGCAUUGUUGUGAUGUGUAGACCUAAGUCCGUUGAGAAACUGAACCAUCCGAAACUCAACUUGUCUGAGUGACUCACCUGACGGAGGUGAGAAGUCAGGUUGGCUUCUCUCUAUCAAACUCAGAGUCUCGGGCGUGUAGAUCUCUGAUCUGUGGAAGCCUUCCCAUUCUCCUAGACUCAUCUCAACGAUAGCGUCUGAGGACUGUACAUGCUCCUCCGGAAAAUUCAUCUCCUACAUAGAAGCAUCAAACGCAGCGUUUAAUCAAGAAUCAGUUACAAAUCAACAUUUCGUCUUCUUCAACGAUCCUAAACACUCUAUGAAGAGUAUCAAAGGCAAUGAUUCAUCUAUAACACAGCCUUAAGAUCUGAAGUGAGAUUACCUGGCAAACGGAAACGGCCAUGGAUCUAGCACGAUCCAGAGGCGAAGCGAAGACGGAGGCGAACCGAACGCCUUCGGAGUUCAAAAACACGGCGAGAGCCCUCGCCUGGCGUUUCCCGUUGGGGGUGAGAGCUGCCACGUGGCACCUCCCUCCGAUCAGAUCGGGCCUUAGGUCGAGAUCGCACUCUCCGUGGCUGAUUAGAUAAACCUCCGUGACGGCAGCGGCGCGAUCGUGCUCCACCGCGGAGGAGGAGACACCGGAGAAGAGAGGAGGAGGUGGGGCGAGGAGGACGUUGUAAGGGUCCCAGACUUUGAUCGAAGGUCCUAUUCGAGGCGUGCCGAGGGAAGAGAGCUGAGGAGAGAGAGGGGAGGCGGACGCGUGGCAGGGAAGCAUCUCGGGCUCUUGCUCGAGGACUUUCUUCACCAAAAGACUGUCCAGCUCGGUCCUUCUUCUGUUCAGUCCGCCGUUAGCAUCUUCUUCUUCUUCGAUUUCUGGUUCAUCUUCUUCGUCGUCUUCUUCUUCAUCGAGUAGCUGUGAAGACUGUGAUGAACCCAUCUCUUUGUUCAACGUGCUCGGAAAGUGAGAAAAGUUGCGGGGGCGAGGUUAAACCGGUAGAGUAAUGCUGCUUCCAGCGAAUAACAUUUUCAGAUCUUGAUGAGCUGUAAACCUCCAGAUUAAUUAGAAGGUUUUGAAUCUCACUGGUACGGCCCAAACGUAGCAAUAAAUAUUGGGCCUACCUGUCUAAAAUAUUCAAAAUCUUGGCCCUCAAGUAACACAUUUCUUUUCCAUAAUGAUUAGGCAUUAUAACCAUAGACUAACUCUAGGGUUUAAAAUGAAUUUGUGUCAGCACUAGUAAAUAUAGUCAAUUGACCUUGUUGGUGUAUUUUACCUACAAUAUUUUUAACAGUGACUUAAUCAUUCUUAACUUAAAGAAUUUACGCUAGCUUUCAAAAGUCCAAAAAUAUAUUUUAAAUUAAUAUGAUCUCAAAUAUAAUUUAUACUAAUAAAAUGGACCUUUUGAAGCUUCGUAGGCGUCCACGUCAGCGGAAAAAACUUAUUCUAAAAGAUGACACGUGGCAUUAACAAAAAAAAAAAAAAUACAUAUAAAGAAAAAUAAAUAAUAAGUAAAUAUAUAAUAUAAGAAAUAGAAAUGUUCAACGUACGUUGUACACCGUUUUCUUUUAGAUCCGUGAUUUUGAACAUAGCGUUGAAGCACAAGAGACUCGUAAACAAGAGCUAGAAAAGUUGGUUCAGGACCAGGAAAGUUUGAGAACCUCUCUUUUGCAAUGGUGCUACACCAGCUAUGGAGAGGUACACAUAGCUAUACUCUGUUAACAUCAUCUUAGAAAUCAAAUACCCGAAUCUGUUUUGAUCGUUUGGUCUAUAUAUGUAGGUUUUCAGCUCCUGGAUGCAUUUCUGUGCUGUGCGCAUAUUCGCUGAGAGCAUAAUGAGAUAUGGUUUACCUCCUGCGUUCUUGGUAAGUUAUGACUCCAAGCUAUGCUUUUUCAAGUGAAUCCCUCAACCCUGUUAACUCCCUGACCAAACUACUUCCUCUUUUCAUGACUUAUUUUCCAGGCAUGCGUCUUAUCUCCGGCUGUGAAGAGUGAAAAGAAAGUACGCUCCAUUCUUGAACGCUUGUGUGAUUCUACCAACAGGUAUGCUUUAUCGCUCUAGACAUAGGCUACAUGUAAGAAGUAGAAUGUUUGAGUCUGAUUGUAUGAAAAAACAAUGCAGUUUAUACUGGAAAAGCGAGGAGGAUGGAGGAGCUGCCAUGGCUGGUUUAGCCGGUGACUCGGAGACACAUCCUUAUGUCUCCUUCACGAUCAACCUUGCUUGAAAUUGAUGAGAGAUUGGUUUGAUGCUUCUUCUCCAUCUGUUAUGUUUGUUUGUGUUCUAUAUAUUUCAUUUUUUAUUUUUCGUAAUAUAUUUUGAAAAUAAAAGAAGGAAAUAUUAAGGUGGCACUCAAGAUACUGU